rnacentral:rRNA from 1 species
UCGAGAAUUUUUCACAAUGGGCGCAAGCCUGAUGGAGCGACGCCGCGUGGGGGAUGAAGGGCUUCGGUCCGUAAACCCCUGUCAUUUGCGAACAAACCUUAUGCAUGAACAAUGCAUGAGCUGAUUGUAGCGGAAGAGGAAGGGACGGCUAACUCUGUGCCAGCAGCCGCGGUAAUACAGAGGUCCCGAGCGUUGUUCGGAUUCACUGGGCGUAAAGGGUGCGUAGGUGGCUGGGUAAGUCUGAUGUGAAAUCUCCGAGCUUAACUCGGAAAUGGCAUUGGAUACUAUUCGGCUGGAGGAUUGGAGGGGGGACUGGAAUACUUGGUGUAGCAGUGAAAUGCGUAGAUAUCAAGUGGAACACCAGUGGCGAAGGCGAGUCCCUGGACAAUACCUGACACUGAGGCACGAAAGCUAGGGGAGCAAACAGGAUUAGAUACCCCGGUAGUCC